AGUGAACGCUGGCGGUAGGCCUAACACAUGCAAGUCGAACGGCAGCACAGUAAGAGCUUGCUCUUACGGGUGGCGAGUGGCGGACGGGUGAGGAAUACAUCGGAAUCUACUUUUUCGUGGGGGAUAACGUAGGGAAACUUACGCUAAUACCGCAUACGACCUACGGGUGAAAGCAGGGGAUCUUCGGACCUUGCGCGAUUGAAUGAGCCGAUGUCGGAUUAGCUAGUUGGCGGGGUAAAGGCCCACCAAGGCGACGAUCCGUAGCUGGUCUGAGAGGAUGAUCAGCCACACUGGAACUGAGACACGGUCCGGACUCCUACGGGAGGCAGCAGUGGGGAAUAUUGGACAAUGGGCGCAAGCCUGAUCCAGCCAUACCGCGUGGGUGAAGAAGGCCUUCGGGUUGUAAAGCCCUUUUGUUGGGAAAGAAAAGCAGCAGGUUAAUACCCCGCUGUUCUGACGGUACCCAAAGAAUAGGCACCGGCUAACUUCG
rnacentral:rRNA from 1 species